GUGCAUGGAAUCUGGAAUAAGAUGUGGGUAAUAUCGUUAUCAUCUUCUGAUAUCACCAUCUGCAGCCCUCCAGAUACUGAGCUGAUGUAAUGGCUUGGGAGGGACCCAACGAAGGAGUGCUGACUCAGGAAUCCUGCUGGGACUUUGUGGCCUACUGCUAGGCAACCACCCAUCUCCACCACAGCAAGCAAACAUAUGACCACAAAAUGGAUGAUCUCAUCUCUGAAUCGGCUAUUUGAUAUGCAGAUUGCACGGCAGCAGCCGUCCUUCCAUAAUAAUACAGAAUUGCUCUGGCAGCAGGUGCAGCAUAAAAGUGCAUGGGUCUUUUCUCACAUUUUAAAGCCAAAAUUGGUCCCAAACACUCUCUUUCCUCUUCACAGUUCCUGAAGCUCUAUUAUCUUCAUGUUUUAUUUCAGCCUUCUGUGCCAAAAAAGCAGGGCUCAUCCCUUAUGUUCCUUUCUAUACCCCUACCCCUGGGCUGCAAUGAAAUAAAGGGGGGGGAAGCAG